GGCCGUGUAGCUCAGCUGGUAGAGCAUGCGCGCACAAAGCGUAGGCGUCCAUGAGUGGGUUCGAAUCCCAUCGAGACUA
rnacentral:tRNA from 1 species